GAGUAGCAUGGCAGACGGGUGAGGAGCGCGUAUCUGACUGGACUCAGGCUGGGUGGAUAGGGCCGUCGAAAGGGGGUUGAAUACCGCAUGUGCUCGGUGCUGUGAGGGCAUCGAGGAAAGUUGGCCUCUGCGGGCACGCUGAUGGCCUGAGACAGGUAUGCGUACUAUUAGCUAGCUGGUGGGGUAAGGGCCUACCAUGGCGACGAUGGGUAGCUGGUCUGAGAGGAUGAUCAGCCACGCUGGGACUGCGAGGCGGCCCAGACUCCUACGGGAGGCAGCAGUGGGGAAUUUUGCGCAAUGGGCGCAAGCCUGACGCAGCAACGCCGCGUGCAUGACGACGCCUUUCGAGGUGUAAAGUGCUGUCGACCGGGACGAAUGGGCGAUGGUGAACAGCUUUCGCGCAUGACGGUACCGGUGGAGGAAGCCCCGGCUAACUCCGUGCCAGCAGCCGCGGUAAGACGGAGGGGGCGAGCGUUGUUCGGAAUUACUGGGCGUAAAGCGCGCGUAAGGCGGUGCAGCAAGUGGUGCGUGAAAGCCCUCGGCUUAACCGGGGACGGGCGUGCCAAACUGUUGGACUGGAGUGCCGGAGGGGGAGGCGGAAUUCCUGGUGGAGCGGUGAAAUGCGUAGAGAUCAGGAAGAACGUCGGUGGCGAAGGCGGCCUCCUGGACGGACACUGACGCUGAGGUGCGACAGCGUGGGGAGCGAACGGGAUUAGAUACCCCGGUAAGUCCACGCCGUUAACGAUGGGUAAUAGGUGUGGGGCUUGUGAUGAGGCCCGUGCCGGAGCUAACGCAAGUAGUACCCGGCCUGGGGAGUACGGUC
rnacentral:rRNA from 1 species